UGCAAAAAUGUAUAUAUAAAU
rnacentral:snRNA from 1 species